GAUGAACGCUGGCGGCGUGCCUAAUACAUGCAAGUCGAGCGAACAGACGAGGAGCUUGCUCCUCUGACGUUAGCGGCGGACGGGUGAGUAACACGUGGAUAACCUACCUAUAAGACUGGGAUAACUUCGGGAAACCGGAGCUAAUACCGGAUAAUAUAUUGAACCGCAUGGUUCAAUAGUGAAAGACGGUUUUGCUGUCACUUAUAGAUGGAUCCGCGCCGCAUUAGCUAGUUGGUAAGGUAACGGCUUACCAAGGCAACGAUGCGUAGCCGACCUGAGAGGGUGAUCGGCCACACUGGAACUGAGACACGGUCCAGACUCCUACGGGAGGCAGCAGUAGGGAAUCUUCCGCAAAGGGCGAAAGCCUGACGGAGCAACGCCGCGUGAGUGAUGAAGGUCUUCGGAUCGUAAAACUCUGUUAUUAGGGAAGAACAAAUGUGUAAGUAACUAUGCACGUCUUGACGGUACCUAAUCAGAAAGCCACGGCAAACUACGUG
rnacentral:rRNA from 1 species